rnacentral:lncRNA from 1 species
AGUGGCGCGAUCUCGGUUCACUGCAAGCUCCGCCUCCCGGGUUCACACCAUUCUCCUGCCUCAGCCUCCUGAGUAGCUUGGACUACAGGCGCCCGCCACCACACCCUGCUAAUUUUUUGUAUUUUUAGUAGAGAUGGGGUUUCACUGUGUUAGCCGGGAUGGUCUCGAUCUCUUGACCUCGAGGAUUCAGCUUCUUCCUAGUUCAGUCUUUGGAAGGUGUGUGUGUCCAGGAAUUUAUCCAUAUCUUCUAGAUUUUCUAGCUUAUUAGUACUUUCCCUUUUGUUACUACUAUGCUACUACUGCUGUGCUUCCUUGCUGACGGUUCCAGUUCCUAUCGCUGUGUAACAAACUACCUCAUUUAUAUAGAUUCAUCAAUGCUUCCUUUUCACAUUUGUCUUCACUUGCAUCUCUCUAUAUUAAGAUACAUAUAUUUCCAUUUUUCUAUCUAUUGAUCUAUCUAUCUAUCUAUCUAUCUAUCAUCUAUCUAUCUAUCUAUCUAUCUAUCUAUCUAAAAUAAGAAAUUGGCUCAAAAAAUUAUGCGGGCUGAGAAGUCCUAGGAUCUGCAGCUGGUAAGCUGAUGACCCAGGAGAGCUGAUGAUGUGGUUCAGUCUGGGUCUGAAGGUAGAACACUAAUGUCUUUGCUUGAGGUCAGGCAGGCACAGGGAAAAUACUUUCUUACACAAACUUUAUUCAGGCCUUCAACGAAUUAGAUGAGGUCUACCUAACAUUGAGGGUGGUGAUCUUCUUUACAGCCUACUAAUUCAAAUGUUAAUCUCGUCCAGAAACACCAUCACAGACAUAUCCAGAAGUAAUAUUUAACAAAAUAUCUGGGCAUCCCAUGGCCUGGUCAAAUUGACACAUAAAAUUAACUAUCACAGCUUCCUAAUUAACUCUCACAGCCUCCUUUUAUUUAGUUGUUUUGCCUGUGUUUGUAAUUUUGUUUAAUUUAGCAAUUUUAAUAAUGUUAUUACAUUAUUAAAUAGACAUCUGUGAAGUUCCUUCCCAAGUUCAGCUAGUCUCUUCACAAGAAGCCAUAUAUAAACAUGGUUGGUCCUCCCCUUCAAUCCAUUCUCACCUUCUCUCUUCUGAGGUCAUUAUCAUCCUGAAUUCAUUUUUAUUUAGUUUUAUUAAAUAGAGGUGGAGUUUAGUAUUACAAGAUAGGUUUUAAAAAUUGUGGUUUGUAGCUUCAUAAAAAAGGCAGCUGGGCGCGGUGGCUCAUGCCUGUAAUCCCAGCACUUUGGGAGGCCGAGGCAGGUGGAUCACGAGGUCAAGAGAUCAAGACCACCCGGGCCAACAUGGUGAAACCCCGUCUCUACUAAAAAUACAGCAAUUAGCUAGGCAUGGUGAUGCACACCUGUAGUCCCAGCUAUUCGAGAGGCUGAGGCAGG